rnacentral:lncRNA from 1 species
CAGGCAAAAUUGCCUCCAAGAUCCUUUUCUGCUCGAAUAUUCAUUGAGCCAAAGAAGGUUAAGAACACAUAUAAAUUGAGAAUUCUGUAAUUUUAAGAUUCAUCUGGAAAAAUGGCACCCUGGCACCAGCCAUCAGGACUAAGAUGGAGAGUUUGCAGUCAAAUGAAAUUAAGGUUGAACCCAGUUCUGCCAGUUCCUUGCUCCAUAACCCCUAGAAAAUUACUUCUGUCUGAGCCUUGGGAUUCUCUGUCUCUUUUUUAUUUAUUUAUUUAUUUAUUUUUGAGACAGAGUCUCGCUUUGUCGCCCAGGCUGGAGUGCAGUGGUUGCAGUGAGCCAAGAUUGCGCCAUUGCAAUCCAACCUGGGUGACAGAUUGAGACUCUGUC